rnacentral:rRNA from 1 species
GACGAACGCUGGCGGCGUGCUUAACACAUGCAAGUCGAACGGAAAGGCCUCUUUCGGGGGGUACUCGAGUGGCGAACGGGUGAGUAACACGUGAGUAACCUGCCCUUGACUUUGGGAUAACUUCAGGAAACUGGGGCUAAUACCGGAUAGGAGCUCCUGCUGCAUGGUGGGGGUUGGAAAGUUUCGGCGGUUGGGGAUGGACUCGCGGCUUAUCAGCUUGUUGGUGGGGUAGUGGCUUACCAAGGCUUUGACGGGUAGCCGGCCUGAGAGGGUGACCGGCCACAUUGGGACUGAGAUACGGCCCAGACUCCUACGGGAGGCAGCAGUGGGGAAUAUUGAACAAUGGGUGGAAGCCUGAUGCAGCAACGCCGUGUGCGGGAUGACGGCCUUCGGGUUGUAAACCGCUUUCGCUCAUGACGAAGCUUUGUGUGACGGUAGUGGGUAAAGAAGCACCGGCUAACUACGCG